ACCGCGGUAGCUCAGUCAAUGGAGCAUCUGCCUGGUAAGCGGAAUGUCGCUGGUUCGUUUCCGGCUCAUGGUG
rnacentral:tRNA from 1 species